CUACGGGUGGCACCAGUGAGGAAUCUUGCACAAUGGAGGAAACUCUGAUGCAGCGAUGCCGCGUGAGUGAAGAAGGCCCUUGGGUUGUAAAGCUCUUUUGUCGGGAAAGAUAAUGACUGUACCCGAAGAAUAAGGUCCGGCUAACUUCGUGCCAGCAGCCGCGGUAAUACGAAGGGACCUAGCGUAAUUCGGAAUUACUGGGCGUAAAGCGCGCGUAGGCGGUUAAGUAAGUUAAUUGUGAAAGCCCAAAGCUCAACUUUGGAAUUGCAAUUAAAACUACUUAGCUAGAGUUUAUCAGAGGAAAGCGGAAUACAUAGUGUAGAGGUGAAAUUCGUAGAUAUUAUGUAGAACACCAGUUGCGAAGGCGGCUUUCUGGGAUAACACUGACGCUGAGGUGCGAAAGUAUGGGUAGCGAAGAGGACUAGAUACCCCCGUAGUC
rnacentral:rRNA from 1 species